UGGAUUUGGUUUGAAUUCUUUAUCAUUUGCCAAUUCUGUUUUAGGCUUGUGCUAAGUUGAUGUACCAAAUUGUGCCCCAUUUGAACUUGUUUUUGCUUGCCUUGCCUUAUGGAAUUUGAUUACCAUGUCUACUCAUGUCCAAAUGCUCUAAUUUUUUGUGUGAUGAUCAUGUUGUAUGUUCUGUUUACCCAUGAAUUUUGUUGGAAUUAAUUGAAUCAUU
rnacentral:lncRNA from 1 species